GACGAACGCUGGCGGCGUGCUUAACACAUGCAAGUCGAACGGUAAGGCCCUUCGGGGUACACGAGUGGCGAACGGGUGAGUAACACGUGGGUGAUCUGCCCUGCACUUCGGGAUAAGCCUGGGAAACUGGGUCUAAUACCGGAUAGGACUCCUGGCUUCAUGGUUGGGGGUGGAAAGCUUUUGCGGUGUGGGAUGGGCCCGCGGCCUAUCAGCUUGUUGGUGGGGUAAUGGCCUACCAAGGCGACGACGGGUAGCCGGCCUGAGAGGGUGACCUGUCACACUGGGACUGAGAUACGGCCCUGACUCCUACGGGAGGCAGCAGUGGGGAAUAUUGCACAAUGGGCGCAAGCCUGAUGCAGCGACGCCGCGUGAGGGAUGACGGCCUUCGGGUUGUAAACCUCUUUCAGCUAUGACGAAGCGCAAGUGACGGUAGUAGCAGAAGAAGGACCGGCCAACUACGUGCCAGCAGCCGCCGUAA
rnacentral:rRNA from 1 species